GAGUUGACGGGUACCAGCACUAAUGAACCGGAUCCCAUCAGAACUCCGCAGUUAACCGUGCUUGGGCGAGAGUAGUACUUGGAUGGGUGACCUCCUGGGAAGUCCUCGUGUUGCACCCC
rfam:Gossypium raimondii chromosome 6, whole genome shotgun sequence.